CCUACGGGUGGCAGCAGUGAGGAAUAUUGGUCAAUGGACGCGAGUCUGAACCAGCCAAGUCGCGUGAAGGAUGACUGCCCUAUGGGUUGUAAACUUCUUUUAUAUGGGAAUAAAAUGUUCCACGUGUGGGUUUCUGUAAGUACCAUAUGAAUAAGGAUCGGCUAACUCCGUGCCAGCAGCCGCGGUAAUACGGAGGAUCCGAGCGUUAUCCGGAUUUAUUGGGUUUAAAGGGUGCGUAGGUGGAAUGUUAAGUCAGUGGUGAAAUUUUGCGGCUCAACCGUGGAAUUGCAGUUGAAACUGGCAGUCUUGAGUGCAGUAGAGGUAGGCGGAAUGCGUGGUGUAGCGGUGAAAUGCUUAGAUAUCACGAAGAACUCCGAUUGCGAAGGCAGUUCACUGGACUGCAACUGACACUGAGGCACGAAAGUGUGGGUAUCAAACAGGAUUAGAUACCCGUGUAGUC
rnacentral:rRNA from 1 species